UACGAAGGGGGCUAGCGUUGCUCGGAAUUACUGGGCGUAAAGGGCGCGUAGGCGGAUAUCUAAGUCGGGGGUGAAAGCCCGGGGCUCAACCUCGGAAUAGCCUUCGAUACUGGAUAUCUUGAGUACGGGAGAGGUGAGUGGAACUCCGAGUGUAGAGGUGAAAUUCGUAGAUAUUCGGAAGAACACCAGUGGCGAAGGCGACUCACUGGCCCGUUACUGACGCUGAGGCGCGAAAGCGUGGGGAGCAAACAGG
rnacentral:rRNA from 1 species